ACUCAAAUGAAUUGACGGGGGCCCGCACAAGCAGUGGAGCAUGUGGUUUAAUUCGAUGCAACGCGAAGAACCUUACCCAGGCUCGAAAUGUAAUGGGCGCAGUCAGAGAUGACUGCUUCCGCAAGGACUGUUACAUAGGUGCUGCAUGGCUGUCGUCAGCUCGUGCCGUGAGGUGUUUGGUUAAGUCCAGCAACGAGCGCAACCCUUAUCAUUAGUUGCCAACGCGUAAUGGCGGGUACUCUAGUGAGACUGCCUAGGUUAACUAGGAGGAAGGUGAGGAUGACGUCAAGUCCGCAUGGCCUUUAUGUCUGGGGCUACACACGUGCUACAAUGGUCGGUACAGAAGGCAGCAAGACCGCAAGGUGGAGCAAAUCCGUAAAGCCGAUCUCAGUUCAGAUUGUAGUCUGCAACUCGACUACAUGAAGUUGGAAUUGCUAGUAAUGACGUGUCAGCAACAACGUCGUGAAUACGUUCCCGGGCCUUGUACACACCGCCCGU
rnacentral:rRNA from 1 species